AAAAUGCAUUCCAUGGUAUUUCCUGCCCUAACAAAGCCAGUAAGAAACGUUAGGGCAAUAAAGAAAGAAUAAACUUUUAAGGAUGUCUCCAUUGCAUUCCAACAGAAUUUAGAUAAAUACCAUUGGCUAGAACCUAGAAGCCCAGUGGCCAAGUGCCUUCCUCAUAGACUCAUAGUGCAAGAGGUUAAGGGAUCAAACCCUGGCAGCCCAUUACAUCCUAUACCUAAUGGUCAAAUUUUUGCAGUGUUGAUGGCCGCAACACCCGUUGUCAGUAGAAUAACGACCACAAUGUUAACCGUGUGAAAGAGACAGAUUCUUUUCUACUGGCUUAAGUAACCAAAGUGACCAUUUCUCUCAUCUUCCCCUACUUUCUGACCCCCAUUUUCACUCUUUCUUCAACCUAAAUCCUUCAUGACUCCUACAACAUACAAUUUUUGCUUGAUUUCACUUCUUAACAUGGCAAAAUCAAUAAAAGGAUGUAUAUUUGGAGACCAAAACUCUCAAACUUGAAAACAAAAGACUUGAGACCCUCCUAGACACUCAAAAACCCUCAAAUGUCAUUGAAACAGAUUAUAAAUAUAUGACUUGCACAACAGUUCCAGCAAUUUCAGAUUAACUAAAAAACCAAAUCUCGAUGAUCAUUGCUUUAUAGGAAGCUAUUCCCAGCAGUGAUAGAAUCAUAAUUCUCCACAGUAGGGGUCAGCACUUCAACCAAGAUAUGGCUUUUCAUAAGCUGGAUUAUCACAAUUAAUGCCAUCACCAUCAGCUAUUUUUAAGGUUACAAAAAUCCUAUAAAACUCAAUAGGCCAAACCAUGUUCAACUGAAGUCCCACCCACCCAGAACCAUUUCUGGCUGACUUGAGAAAUUUUGGACACAUUUAGCACAUAAUCUGAUGAAUGAACCAGAGUCACCACAUUUCCAAGCCCCUUAAGUACCAAAAAUAAUGCUGGAAAAAGAAAGGAAAAAAAUAAAAGCAUUGCACCUUCAGUGAAUCACCCAAUUCUG
rnacentral:misc_RNA from 1 species